rnacentral:rRNA from 1 species
UACGUAGGGUGCUAGCGUUGUCCGGAUUUACUGGGCGUAAAGGGUGCUCAGGUGGGUUUGUAAGUCAGAGGUGAAAUCCCAAAGCUUAACUUUGGAGCUGCGUUUGAUACUGCAAGUCUAGAGUUUGAGAGAGGGUAAUGGAAUAUCUGGUGUAGCAGUGAAAUGCGUAGAUAUCAGAUAGAACACCAAUGGCGAAGGCAGUUACCUGGCUCAAAACUGACGCUAAAGCACGAAAGUGUGGGGAGCAAACAGG